AACGCUAGCUACAGGCUUAACACAUGCAAGUCGAGGGGCAGCACAGUGUAGCAAUACAUGGGUGGCGACCGGCGCACGGGUGCGUAACGCGUAUCCAACCUUCCCGUUACUCAGGGAUAGCCUUCCGAAAGGGAGAUUAAUACCUGAUGGUGUUGAAAUUCCGCAUGUUAUUUCAACUAAAGAUUUAUCGGUAACGGAUGGGGAUGCGUGACAUUAGGUAGAUGGCGGGGUAACGGCCCACCAUGCCUACGAUGUCUAGGGGUUCUGAGAGGAAGGUCCCCCACACUGGAACUGAGACACGGUCCAGACUCCUACGGGAGGCAGCAGUGAGGAAUAUUGGUCAAUGGCCGGAAGGCUGAACCAGCCAAGUAGCGUGAAGGAUGAAGGUUCUAUGGAUUGUAAACUUCUUUUAUACGGGAAUAAAACCUCCCACGUGUGGGAGCUUGUAUGUACCGUAUGAAUAAGCAUCGGCUAACUCCGUGCCAGCAGCCGCGGUAAUACGGAGGAUGCGAGCGUUAUCCGGAUUUAUUGGGUUUAAAGGGAGCGUAGACGGGGGAUUAAGUCAGUUGUGAAAGGCUGCGGCUCAACCGCAGCACUGCAGUUGAUACUGGUUCCCUUGAGUGCGGUUGAGGUAUGUGGAAUUCGUGGUGUAGCGGUGAAAUGCUUAGAUAUCACGAAGAACUCCGAUUG
rnacentral:rRNA from 1 species